GAUGAACGCUGGCGGCGUGCCUAAUACAUGCAAGUCGAGCGAACAGACGAGGAGCUUGCUCCCCUGACGUUAGCGGCGGACGGGUGAGUAACACGUGGAUAACCUACCUAUAAGACUGGGAUAACUUCGGGAAACCGGAGCUAAUACCGGAUAAUAUAUUGAACCGCAUGGUUCAAUAGUGAAAGACGGUUUUGCUUUCACUUAUCGAUGAUUCCGCGCCGCAUUAGCUAGUUGGUAAGGUAACGGCUUACCAAGGCAACGAUGCGUAGCCGACCUGAGAGGGUGAUCGGCCACACUGGAACUGAGACACGGUCCAGACUCCUACGGGAGGCAGCAGUAGGGAAUCUUCCGCAAUGGGCGAAAGCCUGACGGAGCAACGCCGCGUGAGUGAUGAAGGUCUUCGGAUCGUAAAACUCUGUUAUUAGGGAAGAACAAAUGUGUAAGUAACUAUGCACGUAUUGACGGUACCUAAUCAGAAAGCCACGGCUAACUACGUG
rnacentral:rRNA from 1 species